rnacentral:misc_RNA from 1 species
CUAAUAAUUGCUUCAUCAAGGUCAAAUGGUCUGUUUGUUGCAGCAAGAACAAGGAUGCGUUCACCCUGCUUCGUCAUAAGGCCAUCCCAAUGCGUCAUGAACUCAUUCUUUAUCUUUCGCAUGGCUUCAUGCUCCCCAACUCUAGUCCGCUGCCCAAGCAUGCUAUCUCCCUCAUCCACAAAAAUAAUAGUUGGGGAAACUUUGGCUGCCAGUGUAAAUAAAGC